rnacentral:rRNA from 1 species
AGCGAACGCUGGCGGCAGGCCUAACACAUGCAAGUCGAACGGAUCCUUCGGGAUUAGUGGCAGACGGGUGAGUAACACGUGGGAACGUGCCCUUUGGUUCGGAACAACUCAGGGAAACUUGAGCUAAUACCGGAUGUGCCCUUCGGGGGAAAGAUUUAUCGCCAUUGGAGCGGCCCGCGUCUGAUUAGCUAGUUGGUGAGGUAACGGCCCACCAAGGCGACGAUCAGUAGCUGGUCUGAGAGGAUGAUCAGCCACACUGGGACUGAGACACGGCCCAGACUCCUACGGGAGGCAGCAGUGGGGAAUCUUGCGCAAUGGGCGAAAGCCUGACGCAGCCAUGCCGCGUGAAUGAUGAAGGUCUUAGGAUUGUAAAAUUCUUUCAGCGGGGACGAUAAUGACGGUACCCGCAGAAGAAGCUCCGGCUAACUUCGUG